GCGUCCUUUACAGCCACAAACCCUGGCUAUAAGGUAUGACGAAAACAAGCGUCCUUUACAGCCACAAACCCUGGCUAUAAGGUAUGACGAAAACAGGCGUACUUCGUAGCCACAAACGCUGGUUAUAAGGUAUGACGAAAACAGGCGUCCUUUACAGCCACAAACCCUGGCUAUAAGGUAUGACGAAAACAGGCGUCCUUUACAGCCACAAACCCUGGCUAUAAGGUAUGACGAAAACAAGCGUCCUUUACAGCCACAAACCCAGGCUAUAAG
rnacentral:lncRNA from 1 species